CAGCAGCCGCGGGAAUACGAAGGGUGCAAGCGUUACUCGGAAUUACAGGGCGUAAAGCGUGCGUAGGUGGUGGUUUAAGUCCGUUGUGAAAGCCCUGGGCUCAACCUGGGAAUUGCAGUGGAUACUGGGUCACUAGAGUGUGGUAGAGGAUAGUGGAAUUUCCGGUGUAGCAGUGAAAUGCGUAGAGAUCGGAAGGAACAUCUGUGGCGAAGGCGACUAUCUGGGCCAACACUGACACUGAGGCACGAAAGUGUGGGGAGCAAACAGGAUUAGAUACCCGCGUAGUCCCUGUCUCUUAUAC
rnacentral:rRNA from 1 species